AGAGGAAGUAAAAGUCGUAACAAGGUUUCCGUAGGUGAACCUGCGG
rnacentral:rRNA from 1 species